UAGGUCCCUGACUCAAAACUAAGUCUAACUUGCAGAAGGAUUUAGAACUUCCAUCUGCUGUAGAAGGCAAUAGGAAGAUAUAAAGUACAUCCAUAAACCACUAUACGGCGGUCUCCUGGUAAAUACUGUAUUCUCUCCACUGGGUAUUACUGCAUAACAGCUGUUCCUGAGUAGGCCUUCAUCAGUCCAGCACCAGUGUGUUUGUGAAGUGGUCCUGCUGCGCAGGAGGAACAUGUUUUGAUGAGGGAAAUGUCCAGACUAAUAUUGACUGGUCAUUAUUUAUGUUAUGAAAAUGUUAUGUAAUAGGAGUGGCUAAGCACUGCAUGGAGAACCAAGUAGGCCA
rnacentral:lncRNA from 1 species